CACACGGCAGUUCGUGGUGGAGGUCGACGCGUCAGAGGUGGGGGUAGGAGCAGUGUUGUCCCAACGUGCUGCUUCGGACGAUAAGAUGGGGAACCGACUUAUUCGGUAAAUCGUAUUCUGGACUCGAGACGGAGGGGAUGAGGAUUCCAGUACCUGGUGGACUGGGAACGUUACGGUCCAGAGGAGAGGAGUUGGGUACCUGCUAGGGACAUAUUGGAUCACUCCCUUAUUGAUGACUACAAUCAGCAGCUACAAACACUUACCUUCGGCUCUAUUCCCCACAGUUCCUGUGCCAUCC